CGGCAUGUAGCGCAGCCUGGUAGCGCACCGUCAUGGGGGGUCGUAGGUUCAAAUCCUAUCAUGCCGACCA
rnacentral:tRNA from 1 species